CCGUGGUUAGCUCAGUUGGUAGAGCACUGUAAUGGAGAGGUCCCGGGUUCAAUACCCGGACCAAGCG
rnacentral:tRNA from 1 species